CAUUUCCAGCCAGCUCCAAAGUAAUGCUGAUAACCACAGUGAGCACCAAAGCCAAAUGCCAAAAACCAAAAAGGAUGGCAAGAAUCAACCACAGGGGACAUCAGAGGACCACAGGUGGAGGAGAAGAGGCGAAAGUGGAAGCAACACAGGUGCUGGAAAUGCUGGGACGUGCAGCAUUCUAUACUGCAAGUAGGCCCCAUGAAACAACCCUAAGGCAAGAAAGCAUCCACUAUGCUCAGAGAACAGCAAGGUGGCCCAGUUGGGUAGAGCAGAGUGACCUGUAGGAAGAAUAAUGGAUGUCAGGAGGAUUACUCUGGAUGCUAUGCUGAGAAGAAACUGAAGACAAUGGUGGAAGUGGGAAAGCUUAUGACUCAGAAUAACUAUUUCUAAUAACAAAUUUUAAGUUCUCUUCAUGCAGAGCAGCUGACACAAAUCUUCAACUCAUUGAUGAUGGCAUCUGACUGUUCCAGGUAUUAAGAAGAGAGAAAGAAUCUGAGAAAUUAUGGCGUACUCAACUGUGGACAGCUGAAAGUCUGGCAUAGCGUGCCCUCAUCAUCACAAAUGGGCUCGCAUUACAAGCUACACUUAUUUGACAACUAUCAGCAUUUGUCAACCGGCACUCAGAUUUGAAGACUCAUUUCACAGCUGGAGCAAGAGAAGACAGGAAGGAAAAAUCAGAGUAAGGUUUCAAUGAGUUUCUGCAAAUUCUCAGAAGUUUUGCUGCCACUCAGUGUCACAAUAACAAAAAGAAAUAAAAAUAGCUGAUAUUUACUAAACA
rnacentral:lncRNA from 1 species